AUUGAACGCUGGCGGCAGGCCUAACACAUGCAAGUCGAACGAGUGGCGGACGGGUGAGUAAUGUCUGGGAAACUGCCUGAUGGAGGGGGAUAACUACUGGAAACGGUAGCUAAUACCGCAUACCAUCGGAUGGGCCCAGAUGGGAUUAGCUAGUAGGUGGGGUAAAGGCUCACCUAGGCGACGUUCCCUAGCUGGCCUCAGAGGAGGACCAGGCACACGGGAACUGAGACACGGGCCAGACGCCGAUGUGAGGAAGAAGUGGGAAAUAUUGCACGAUGGGCGGAAGCAGGAGUAAGCCAGGCCGCGUGUAUGAAGACGUCCUUCGGGUUUUAAAGUUGUUUCAACGUGGCGGCGUGAGCCGCAGAAGAAGGACCGGCUAACUCCGUGCCAGCAGCCGCGGUAAUUC
rnacentral:rRNA from 1 species